rnacentral:rRNA from 1 species
CUUUUGCUGGCGACCGGCGCACGGGUGAGUAACACGUAUCCAACCUGCCGAUGACUCGGGGAUAGCCUUUCGAAAGAAAGAUUAAUACCCGAUGGCAUAGUUCUUCCGCAUGGUAGAACUAUUAAAGAAUUUCGGUCAUCGAUGGGGAUGCGUUCCAUUAGGUUGUUGGCGGGGUAACGGCCCACCAAGCCUUCGAUGGAUAGGGGUUCUGAGAGGAAGGUCCCCCACAUUGGAACUGAGACACGGUCCAA